UGAUGAACAGUUUGACUCUCUAUGAGUUA
rnacentral:piRNA from 1 species